CAGUCGUACUGGCGGGCGAAUCAGCCUUUUGGGUUAGUGAUUAUGUGGGGCGUUGAGGAGUUCAUCACCCUCCAUCUUUGCAUAUUUGUUGCACUUUGGGUGUACUUGCUCGUGUGGUAGGUUAACAUCAAUUUUAGUCAUCAUAAAAUGGCUGGAGGAAUGUAGCUUCGAUCUCGUAUUGAAGUGUUAUAGCCUUUGGUAGACGUGAUGAUUGGGAUUGAGGAUUGCAACGAAUACCCUUCGGGCUACCUGUCUGAUCUCUG
rnacentral:rRNA from 1 species